GACGAACGCUGGCGGCGUGCCUAAUACAUGCAAGUUGAGCGCUGAAGGUUGGUACUUGUACCAACUGGAUGAGCAGCGAACGGGUGAGUAACGCGUGGGGAAUCUGCCUUUGAGCGGGGGACAACAUUUGGAAACGAAUGCUAAUACCGCAUAAAAACUUUAAACACAAGUUUUAAGUUUGAAAGAUGCAAUUGCAUCACUCAAAGAUGAUCCCGCGUUGUAUUAGCUAGUUGGUGAGGUAAAGGCUCACCAAGGCGAUGAUACAUAGCCGACCUGGGAGGGGGAUCGGCCACAUUGGGACUGAGACACGGCCCAAACUCCUACGGGAGGCAGCAGUAGGGAAUCUUCGGCAAUGGACGAAAGUCUGACCGAGCAACGCCGCGUGAGUGAAGAAGGGUUUCGGAUCGUAAAACUCUGUUGGUAGAGAAGAACGUUGGUGAGAGUGGAAAGCUCAUCAAGUGACGGUAACUACCCAGAAAGGGACGGCUAACUACGUG
rnacentral:rRNA from 1 species